rnacentral:tRNA from 1 species
GGGGAGGUCGCAUAGUGGCCUAGUGCGCGGCACUGGAAAUGCCGUAGGGGGUUACACCUCCUCGCGGGUUCAAAUCCCGCCCUCCCCGCCA